UAGUACCACUCCGAUGACCGGGACAACCCGAGGAAACUCGGGCUAAUACCGGAUGUGGUGCAUAGGCAUAAGCUUGUGUACUAAAGGAAGCUUCGGCCUCCGCAUUGGGAGGAGCCCGCGGCCCAUUAGCUUGUUGGUGGGGUCAUGGCCUACCAAGGCAACGAUGGGUAGCUGGUCUGAGAGGACGAUCAGCCACACUGGGACUGAGACACGGCCCAG
rnacentral:rRNA from 1 species